CUGAUACAAUGAUGAUAGCAUAGUUCAACAGACUUAAACAUGAAGAUUAUGCGUUUGUCUUUCGCUCCUAUCUGAUGUGUCGG